rnacentral:tRNA from 1 species
UUAUGUUUAAGUAUACGAUGUACGCAGGUUUUUGAUAUCUUCGGGGAUGGUUUGACUCCAUCAAACAUAAU